CCGAAUUCUCUGGAAAUUCCGGGGAGAGAGAAAUCAAAUAGAACAGAAAUUCCCUGUAAGAAAUUGCCGAGAAUUUUGUUAUACUUCGCAAGGUUUUCCUUUUUCAGGAGAAUCCUGAAACCGCUGUUGCAACGCGCAGGCUUGGGGCUAGUGAAAAGCUUGUUGAUUUGCAUCCGGUCAAUUGUCUCCUAAUAUGCAAAAUUUAAUUUAUUCAAAAUUUGCACCACGAGUAUCACUUGACCUCCAUCCAGCGAGGGUCGCCGAGUUUAUGAUGACUGGGAAAGCGUUUGUGCAUCACCAUGUGUUGGACGUAGAGUUAGAAUGUUUGAGGAACUCACAAGCUACGAAAGAUUAGGAAGUACUUUUCUCUUUGUCUAGAAAAUGCUGUUUAUAUAAAGAGGCAAGCUCGAGUUUGUGAAUGAUUUAUGAUGAUGGAACUGUUUGCAAAGGAUUAAGAAAAUGCAUCUCUGUUUCAUUGCAGCAGUUUCUGGAUGACUGAUUUCAUUAACAAUGGAGCAAUAUUAACAAAAACAUUGGAAAGGACCUUUCCUCUAUCAAGCAAAUGAUUCAAAGGCAAACAUCAGAAAGGUCAGCAGAGCAACCAAAGAGCAAAGCAAGACAAAGCGAGGCAAAGCAGAUUGUAAUAAAAUGACUUUUGGCAGGAAAUUAUCCGGGGUUAAUGUCAUUUCUUUUAAGUAGCCGUGGAAAAAUUCGACAAAAUUGUCUUGGAUAAACAAUUCGGGCUUUGAAAGCGAACGAGAAAGAAAUGGGGAAAAAUACUAAGUCUUUUGAGAGCGAUUUUGUCUUCGAUAGCAAAAAUUUGAUCUUUUAAAGCGACCGGGAAAAAAGUCGAAAAAAAAACUAAGUCUUUUGGCGGGAAAAUGUUUCUUGGUUAACGAUAUUGCGC